GCGUCCAGGAGCAUGCUGGCCUGGUAAAAAGCAUGUAAAAAAUUGAUUGCUAACAGCAAUUACGCUCUCGCGGCCUAAUUAGGCCUCGCAUUCCCGCGUCAACGCCUGCUAGGCGCGCGAAUGAAAACAGCAGGCUGGUCCCGCUCCGGUGCUACCGGGGGGCGGGAUGAGAAAACUCCGGGUGCUGGACUUGCGGGGAUGCUGCUGAGGCAGCCUCGCAAGUCGAGAUCAAUACAUCAGCUACACGCGUAGAGGCGACCAUCUGACUGUCACGGCACGGGGGUUCAAUUCCCCCCGGCUCCAUUU
rnacentral:tmRNA from 1 species